GACGAACGCUGGCGGCGUGCUUAACACAUGCAAGUCGAACGGAAAGGCCCUGCUAUUGUGGGGUGCCCGAGUGGGGAUCGGGUGCGUAACACGUGAGUAACCUGCCCUAGUCUUUGGGAUAACUUCAGGAAACUGGGGCUAAUCUCGGACAGGAUCCCCUGCUGCAUGGUGGGGGUUGGAAAGUUUCGGCGGGUGGGGAUGGACGCGCGGCUUAUCGGCUUGUUGGUUGGGUGGUGGCUUCCCAAGCCAUUGACGGGUCGCCGGCCUGAGAGGGUGGCCGGCCACAUUGCGACUACGAUACGCACCAGACGGCUACAGGAGGCAGUGGUGGCAAGUAUUGUACAGUGGGCCCGCGUCGGAUGAGAAGGCCCCCCGGGCGUGAAGCCGGUCUUCGGGUUGUAAAACGCUUUCGCCUGUGACGAAGCGUUAGUGACGGUAAUGGGUAAAGAAGCACCGGCUAACUACGUG
rnacentral:rRNA from 1 species